CCGGGCCGACUUCCUGUUCCCUGUCCCCGCCCCCUGAGUCCCCCAGUCCCAGGUUGCGGGUUUCCCCUUCAGCAGGCGGAGCCCGGAUGCUGUGCGGCUCAGGCCCGGCCCACGUGUCACUGCGCUACCGCCCCCCGCCGGCCCACCAGCUACCUGAUACUCCAUGCCGGGCUCCUGCGGCGCCGGCCACGCGCUCAACCCCCGCCGCGCUGCGCCCUCGGGCGUUGCACCACGCGCAGGCACAGCUGCCAGGGACAGAGCCGCGCACAGGUGGCUCCGCGCCCACGACAUAGUCCCGGUGCGCGGGACAGCUAGGCCGGGGCGGGACACGCCCCGCCCCGCCCUGACGCGCCCCUGUCCUCGGCCAAUCAGCGCCGCCCGAGACCCCCCACUGCACCAAUAGGAAUCGGCGCCUUCCUGCAGCGCGUCCGGGCGUGGGGCAGGACCCCGGGCGCCGGGCGGCUCCCGGGUGCUUCCGAGGGGCGCUGCCCCCGCCGCCUUUCUUUUAAAGGGAUACGCACUCCUGUCGUCACCACCCUCCGAAGGACCCUGCUGCACGUCCCGAAAUAGCCAGUCCCAGUCAGCAACCUUCAGCCCCUGCUCCUGGCCGGGAUCAAAUGACAGAGCUGGCGGACACCUUGUGAAGGUCACCGAAUUCCGAUCCCGAAAUGCCCGGACUCAGGCAGGCUGGCACUAGGGAUGCGACCUCUGGCCUCACGAACCUGACAAUCAAAGCCCGGGCUUCUACAGUCUUAGAGCCCCUAACCGACCCUGAGGGUCUUGGAAGGCUUCCUGGAGGAAGCGACAUCCCAGCCGAAGCUGGGUGUGUGGGCAAACAGAGAAACGUGUUUGAAAACCGAAGAUCGAAGAGAAUUGGGCGCUUUCACCUGGCUGCUCCCAGUACCCGGAUGCUAGAUUUUCUGCAGAGUCAGCCUCAUACAGAAUUUGGAUUGAAUUUGAUAGCAUUAAAAUGGUUUUAUGGAGGAAGGACAUGAUCGGAUUUGUACUUUGGAAGCGCCCUGGGGCUGUGUUGCAGUGUGGAGAAUGGAUUUGAGAGGCAUGGGCGUGGGGUAAGCAGUAAUCCUUCCUAACUAUGGGUGAGGAGGACCCCCAUUUGUGCUGGCAUGAAAAUGUGGCAUGGUGCAAUCCUUGUGACAGCUGAGGCCGGGAAAGGGAGAGGGAAAAUCCCUAGAUCAAAGACCAUCCUUCAGAUUUCCACUCCCUCCCUCCCUCCUUCCUGCAUUGGGGUAAAUAUUUAUCAGAGACUGUUUGAUUUGAAACAAGCAAGCGAUGUUUGGGGAAGAGCCCAUCACUGGAGGACUUCUGCCCUUCGCACACUGCUGGCACCCCAGGGUCUCUGUGGGGGAUAGAGAGUAAGCUUAUAGGGAAUCUUCUAGACAUGUGCUGGACCAGAACGUGUUCUAAACACCAUCGACCUGGUUGCUCAUGUCAUCCUCAGCUCAACCCUAUGACAUAGGUACGAGCAUCUUCAUCAUUCUUGCUACACAGAAGUCAGGAUCAAGCCUCCCCUCUGACAGGGCUUCUCUGGAACAGGUGAAUUUACAGUGCCAACAGUUUGUCUCCUUGAGCUAUAGAUCUCAACUGUACUUGGAAACAAGUAGACAUAAAGGUCAAGAAACAGCACUGAAAAUUCUGGAGAUCCAAACUGGUAUCAUCCCAGUUUUGCAGGGAAAUUAUAAGUGAAGGCCACGGCUUUUGGUCAGGUAGGUCACCAUCCUAUGGACCCCUGUUCAUUCCAUAGUUUCUGAGGAUGAUUUUCAGAGUGAUGCUGGGAACUGUGGGUGUGUGUGUGGUCCUGGGGAUUGAUUGGAUCCUGGUUUUAAUUUUGAGACAGGGUCUGAAUAAGUUGCCCAGGCUAGCCUCGAACUUGUGAUCCUCCUACCUCAGCCUCCCAAGUGGCCACCUGCCCAGAAAUGCUGGGACACUUUUAAGUGUGAAAUUUCAGGGUGAGAAGUGGGGUGGAACGGAUUUCUGUUCUUUUCCUCGUUAAACAUUUUUCUUUUUGUCUUUCAGUUCUAAUAUUUUUGCACAUAUAAUACAUCAUUCAAAUAGUCAAAGUUUUAAAAUUUUGUGCAGCAAGCAAAAAACCUCCUUCCUGGGAGCCCAAGUCUGAGUAUCCUGAUUCCUUCCCCCAAAGUAAUCAAUACUACUAGUUUCUUGUAAUCUCUCUAGAGGUAUUUUAUGCAUUUAUGAGCAAAUAUAAUUAUGUGUUAAUUUCCCUUUUAUGCUGAUAGAUAGUAACAGGAUGUGGAUAGGUGAGUCUACCCUGUGUUUUUUCCAUAAAAUCUUUUUUUUUUUGUACCAAGAAUUGAACCCGGGGAGCUUAACCACUGAGCCACAUCUCCAGCCCUUUUUUUUU